CGCGACCCCAGGUCAAGCGGGGCUACCCGCUGAGUUUAAGCAUAUCAAUAAGCGGAGGAAAAGAAACUAACAAGGAUUCCCUUAGUAACGGC
rnacentral:rRNA from 5 species